ACUAAAUCAAAAAUCAAAAGUACAUCAGAAUCAAAUUUCAUUGCAAUCUCAUCAUCCCUUCUCGGAUUGACCAAAAUUCCAACAAUUCCGUGAUCCAUGGAGAGAAAUUCAGUAACAAACCAAAGGAAGAAAAACCCUAAUCUUGAAGGGGGGAAGUACCUGUUGAAGGGCUCCAAGCUCAUGGUGGAAGAGAGACGAGGGUGGGAUUAUCUGCAGCUCCUGUGAGGAUUAGAUCGUGGAGAUUUAGGGCCUGGAAGGCGAUGAUUUAUAGCCGUUGAGAGUACAAAAACUUGGAGGCGGGCAUCGAGCGAGAGAGAGGGCGCAGAGGCGACGUAGGAUGAGCGCUACUUUAUAUAGUUAGUAAGCUUUUUAGGUCGAACGCCAAGACUUCCA
rnacentral:lncRNA from 1 species